UGUGUGUGUGUGUGUGUGUGCUGAAAUGGCAAACAUAGACACAAGGCAGGUUUGAAAAGAAACCAUCUUUUGCAAUCCAGAACUCAUGGUGCAGUAGGAGUUCUGAUACAUAAAGGAAGAGUGUG